rnacentral:rRNA from 1 species
CAGUAGCGUAUAUUAAAGUUGUUGCAGUUAAAAUGCUCGUAGUUGAAGUUCGGAUGCAGCAGAGCUUGGAAACGCUGUUAUGGUGCUUCCGUUGCUUUUGCUUGUCCACAGUGCGUUGCAAGUACGUAUGUGCUUGUGCGUGCAUUUUCCUUUGAGAAACAUAGGGUGUUCCACGCAUGUUACGGCAUGAAUAUUCCAGCAUGGGAUAAUCUGGUACGACUUCCAAUCUGCCAUUUUGGUUCGUAGGUUGGAAGUAAUGAUUAAUAGGGACUGUCGGGGGCAUUGGUAUUUGACUGUCAGAGGUGAAAUUCUUAGAUUCGUUGAGGACCAACCACUGCGAAAGCAUUUGUCAAGGAUGUCUCCAUUAA